UACCCGCUGAACUUAAGCAUAUCAAUAAGCGGAGGAAAAGAAACCAACAGGGAUUACCUCAGUAACGGCGAGUGAAGCGGUAACAGCUCAAAUUUGAAAUCUGGCCUCACGGUCCGAGUUGUAAUUUGUAGAGGAUGCUUCGAGCAUGGUCUGGCCUAAGUUCCUUGGAACAGGACGUCAUAGAGGGUGAGAAUCCCGUAUGCGGCCAGGUGCCUACGCUCAUGUGAAGCUCCUUCGACGAGUCGAGUUGUUUGGGAAUGCAGCUCAAAAUGGGUGGUAAAUUUCAUCUAAAGCUAAAUAUUGGCCAGAGACCGAUAGCGCACAAGUAGAGUGAUCGAAAGAUGAAAAGCACUUUGGAAAGAGAGUUAAACAGUACGUGAAAUUGUUGAAAGGGAAGCGCUUGCAACCAGACUUGCGCGCGGCCGAUCAUCCGGUGUUCUCACCGGUGCACUCGGCCGUGCUCAGGCCAGCAUCGGUUUUGGCGGCUGGAUAAAGGCCCUAGGAAUGUAGCUCCUCUCGGGGAGUGUUAUAGCCUAGGGUGCAAUGCAGCCUGCUGGGACCGAGGACCGCGCUUCGGCUAGGAUGCUGGCGUAAUGGUUGUAAGCGGCCCGUCUUGA
rnacentral:rRNA from 1 species